AGUGCAGGUCUGCAGGAAGGGCCUGCCUCCACUCAUGCAGGUACCUGGGAUCACCUGUCCAUUGGCUACACUGCCCUUUAGGGCCUCCAAAUCCCCAGCUGAAUUAUUCCCAUCCAUCUAGUAGGAAAGGAAAAAAGAAUGUUGAAGGAUCAUGCAAAAUGUUUUAGGGGCCAGUCCUGGACGUAAAAUAUGUUACAUUGGCUAGAAUGCUGUUACACAUUGCCACCUAUUUCAAGAGAUGCUGAGAUUUGGAGUCUUCUUGGGUGCCCAGAGAUUUGAGUAUCACCUAGCACUGUUUCUGCUUCAGAAAAAAUAUCCCUUGACAUUGGCUGUGAUACCUACCAACCUGAAAAAAUAUCCCUUGACAUUGGCUGUGAUACCUACCAAGCUCACAUAUAUGCAAUGCAACUUUAUUCUGUUAAAAACAGGAGGUCUAUCAAUAGUUUCUUACCACAAGGGAAAUGGAAGUAGAACUCUGAAGCUAAAUCAGAGGACUCCAAGCAAAUGAAGUGACUGAAAGCAAGAAUGGCUCAUUGCCCUUGAGCUACACAGAAAUGUAUAGGUGGGUGUAUUGGGUCGGUUCCCUGGAAGCACAACCUCAGAUGGGGAUUCUUGUGCAAAAGAUACACGGAGGAAGAGCUCAAGGAAGUAACUUGCAAUGAAGCAAGGGGAGCAAGCUGGAGCAGGAGAAAAGAUCAGGCAAAGGCAUGCUUUCAGAAGUCUAGCCUCGGCCUCAUCCACAGGGAGCUCCAGAGAGUGAAUGGUACCAUGCAGCUGGUCAACCUUCUUGGAGGAGGGAGCUGCUGAUAGCCUUCAGUAGACAGCACUUGCACUAGCCAAGGGAUGAGUGCACCAGCCCAGUGGAGGGGAUCUGGGUAGAGCACCUAUGCCAUCUGCUAUAAUAGGAAGGACAUGCUUUUCCUUUUCGUAUCCUCUACCUGAAGCAAUAUAUCACGUACUCAGCAGACGCUCAAUAAGUGUUUGAGAAAUGAAGAAACAAAAAGACAGAGGGAAGGAGAGAAGAAAAGAAACAAGAUUACAGAAAAUUCUAAAAUACUCUUGGGCUCCAAGAAAUGCAUCUUCAAAUAAGGAACUUCACAUACUUAUGCUGAGCAAUGAGAGAGAUAUUUUGAGAAACCUGAAAAAAUAAGAGAACUUUGAGUUUUCAGUGCUCUGGAAAUGGCAAAAAGGAAUCCCGCCAUGGACGACCUGCUCCUUGCUCCAGCCUGGCCAGUGCUUUGAAGUGAUAACACCAAGAGUUGCUGUUUAGGAAGGCAAGGAAGAAACAUCAGUGUCUCGUCUAGCCUCAGAAAAAAACGACUUCCUAUUUUUACUACUGUUAUGAAUCCCUCACUCAUGGACACCUUUGUGACGUGACUUCCAAGUUGCUAUUCUAUUUUCUGGCUGGAACCUGCAAACUCCAAUCUGGAAGUAUAUCUCUUUAGGGAAAGGGAAGGAAGACCAGAACCAGUGUUUAUUAAAUACCUACUAAAUGUCAAAUUUACUAUGCAUAGCUCUACAUAUGCUAUAUAAAUUACCCAUGAAAAAAA
ensembl:lncRNA novel transcript